rnacentral:misc_RNA from 1 species
GAUCAAGAACGUAGUGAAAUGCGAUAAGUAAUGUGAAUUGCAGAAUUCAGUGAAUCAUCGAAUCUUUGAACGCACAUUGCGCCCCUUGGUAUUCCGAGGGGCAUGCCUGUUCGAGCGUCAUUAUAACCCCUCAAGCUCAGCUUGGUGUUGGGGCCUGCUGCACUGGCAGCCCUUAAAAUCAGUGGCGGCGCCAUCUGGCUCUAAGCGUAGUAAUUCUUCUCGCUAUGGAGUCCUGGUGGAUGCUUGCCAUCAACCCCCAAUUUUUCUAUGGUUGACCUCGGAUCAGGUAGGGAUACCCGCUGAACUUAAGCAUAUCAAUAAGCGGAGGA